AUGUUCUCGUCGCACUCGGCGAGCCGCAUCAACAACAUCCGCACCUCCCUCAUCAACGCGCAGAAGGGUAAUCUCUCGGUUGCUUCUUACUUUGCUGCUAUGCGGGGGUAUGCAGAUGAGCUCGCCGCGGCGGGCAAGGCUAUCUAGGAUGACGAGCUUGUCUCCUACAUCAUCCAUGGGUUAGAUGCAGAUUACCAACCUCUGGUGUCUGCCCUCGAUGCUCGUCUCACCCCCGUCACACUCGACGAGCUCUUCGCCAUGCUCUCCAACUUCGACCAACGCAUGGCCCAGUACCACGGGUCCGGC
rnacentral:rRNA from 1 species